rnacentral:tRNA from 13 species
GGCUCGAAGGUCUAGUGGUAUGAUUCUCGCUUCGGAUGUGAGAGGUCUCGGGUUCAAAUCCCGGUCGAGCCC